GCUCAGAUUGAACGCUGGCGGCAGGCCUAACACAUGCAAGUCGAACGGUAGCACAGAGAGCUUGCUCUCGGGUGACGAGUGGCGGACGGGUGAGUAAUGUCUGGGAAACUGCCUGAUGGAGGGGGAUAACUACUGGAAACGGUAGCUAAUACCGCAUAACGUCGCAAGACCAAAGAGGGGGACCUUCGGGCCUCUUGCCAUCAGAUGUGCCCAGAUGGGAUUAGCUAGUAGGUGGGGUAACGGCUCACCUAGGCGACGAUCCCUAGCUGGUCUGAGAGGAUGACCAGCCACACUGGAACUGAGACACGGUCCAGACUCCUACGGGAGGCAGCAGUGGGGAAUAUUGCACAAUGGGCGCAAGCCUGAUGCAGCCAUGCCGCGUGUAUGAAGAAGGCCUUCGGGUUGUAAAGUACUUUCAGCGGGGAGGAAGGUGUUGUGGUUAAUAACCACAGCAAUUGACGUUACCCGCAGAAGAAGCACCGGCUAACUCCGUGCCAGCAGCCGCGGUAAUACGGAGGGUGCAAGCGUUAAUCGGAAUUACUGGGCGUAAAGCGCACGCAGGCGGUCUGUCAAGUCGGAUGUGAAAUCCCCGGGCUCAACCUGGGAACUGCAUUCGAAACUGGCAGGCUGGAGUCUUGUAGAGGGGGGUAGAAUUCCAGGUGUAGCGGUGAAAUGCGUAGAGAUCUGGAGGAAUACCGGUGGCGAAGGCGGCCCCCUGGACAAAGACUGACGCUCAGGUGCGAAAGCGUGGGGAGCAAACAGGAUUAGAUACCCUGGUAGUCCACGCCGUAAACGAUGUCGAUUUGGAGGUUGUGCCCUUGAGGCGUGGCUUCCGGAGCUAACGCGUUAAAUCGACCGCCUGGGGAGUACGAAGCCGCAAGGUUAAAACUCAAAUGAAUUGACGGGGGCCCGCACAAGCGGUGGAGCAUGUGGUUUAAUUCGAUGCAACGCGAAGAACCUUACCUGGUCUUGACAUCCACAGAACUUUCCAGAGAUGGAUUGGUGCCUUCGGGAACUGUGAGACAGGUGCUGCAUGGCUGUCGUCAGCUCGUGUUGUGAAAUGUUGGGUUAAGUCCCGCAACGAGCGCAACCCUUAUCCUUUGUUGCCAGCGGUUAGGCCGGGAACUCAAAGGAGACUGCCAGUGAUAAACUGGAGGAAGGUGGGGAUGACGUCAAGUCAUCAUGGCCCUUACGACCAGGGCUACACACGUGCUACAAUGGCGCAUACAAAGAGAAGCGACCUCGCGAGAGCAAGCGGACCUCAUAAAGUGCGUCGUAGUCCGGAUUGGAGUCUGCAACUCGACUCCAUGAAGUCGGAAUCGCUAGUAAUCGUAGAUCAGAAUGCUACGGUGAAUACGUUCCCGGGCCUUGUACACACCGCCCGUCACACCAUGGGAGUGGGUUGCAAAAGAAGUAGGUAGCUUAACCUUCGGGAGGGCGCUUACCACUUUGUGAUUCAUGACUGGGGUGAAGUCGUACAGGGGUUCCCCUAUA
rnacentral:rRNA from 1 species